GGGUUGUGAGGUUAAGCGACUAAGCGUACACGGUGGAUGCCUAGGCAGUCAGAGGCGAUGAAGGACGUGCUAAUCUGCGAAAAGCGUCGGUAAGCUGAUAUGAAGCGAUAUAGCCGGCGAUGUCCGAAUGGGGAAACCCAGUGCAAUGCGUUGCACUAUCAUUAACUGAAUUCAUAGGUUAAUGAGGCGAACCGGGGGAACUGAAACAUCUCAGUACCCCGAGGAAAAGAAAUCAACCGAGAUUCCCCCAGUAGCGGCGAGCGAACGGGGAGGAGCCCAGAACCCGCAUCAGCGAUAGCAUCAGAGGAACGGUCUGGAAAGGCCGGCGAGAGAGGGUGACAGCCCCGUACUCGAAGAUGGUAUGGCUGUGAGUUCGAUGAGUAAGGCGGGACACGAGAAAUCCUGUCUGAAGGUGGGGGGACCAUCCUCCAAGGCUAAAUACUCCUGACUGACCGAUAGUGAACCAGUACCGUGAGGGAAAGGCGAAAAGAACCCCGGCGAGGGGAGUGAAAGAGAACCUGAAACCGUGUACGUACAAGCAGUGGGAGCCGUGAUUAAUCAGGGUGACUGCGUACCUUUUGUAUAAUGGGUCAGCGACUUAUAUUCUGUAGCAAGGUUAACCGGAUAGGGGAGCCGCAGGGAAACCGAGUCUUAACUGGGCGAAAGAGUUGCAGGGUAUAGACCCGAAACCCGGUGAGCUAGCCAUGGGCAGGUUGAAGGUUGGGUAACACUAACUGGAGGACCGAACCGACUAAUGUUGAAAAAUUAGCGGAUGACCUGUGGCUGGGGGUGAAAGGCCAAUCAAACCGGGAGAUAGCUGGUUCUCCCCGAAAGCUAUUUAGGUAGCGCCUCGUGAAUUCAUCUUCGGGGGUAGAGCACUGUUUCGGCUAGGGGGCCAUCCCGGCUUACCAACCCGAUGCAAACUGCGAAUACCGAAGAAUGGUAUCACGGGAGACACACGGCGGGUGCUAACGUCCGUCGUGAAGAGGGAAACAACCCAGACCGCCAGCUAAGGUCCCGAAGUCAUGGUUAAGUGGGAAACGAUGUGGGAAGGCCCAGACAGCCAGGAUGUUGGCUUAGAAGCAGCCAUCAUUGAAAGAAAGCGUAAUAGCUCACUGGUCGAGUCGGCCUGCGCGGAAGAUGUAACGGGGCUAAACCAUGCACCGAAGCUGCGGCAGUGACACUCAGGGUGUUGCUGGGUAGGGGAGCGUUCUGUAAGCCGUAGAAGGUGGUGCUGUGAGGCCUGCUGGAGGUAUCAGAAGUGCGAAUGCUGACAUAAGUAACGAUAAAGCGGGUGAAAAACCCGCUCGCCGGAAGACCAAGGGUUCCUGUCCAACGUUAAUCGGGGCAGGGUGAGUCGACCCCUAAGGUGAGGCCGAGAGGCGUAGCUGAUGGGAAACAGGUUAAUAUUCCUGUACUGAAUGUGACUGCGAAGGGGGGACGGAGAAGGCUAGGCCAUCCGGGCGACGGUUGUCCCGGUUUAAGCGUGCAGGUGGGAGGAGCAGGUAAAUCCGCUCUUCUGUGAACACUGAGGCGUGAUGACGAGCCGCUACGGCGGUGAAGUGGUUGAUGCCCGGCUUCCAGGAAAAGCCUCUAAGCGUCAGGUCAUAUUGAAUCGUACCCCAAACCGACACAGGUGGUCAGGUAGAGAAUACUCAGGCGCUUGAGAGAACUCGGGUGAAGGAACUAGGCAAAAUGGUGCCGUAACUUCGGGAGAAGGCACGCUGGCGGUAGGUGAAGGAGUUUGCCUCCGGAGCUGAAGCCAGUCGCAGAGACCAGCUGGCUGCAACUGUUUAUUAAAAACACAGCACUGUGCAAACACGUAAGUGGACGUAUACGGUGUGACGCCUGCCCGGUGCUGGAAGGUUAAUUGAUGGGGUUAGCCGCAGGGCGAGGCUCUUGACAGAAGCCCCAGUAAACGGCGGCCGUAACUAUAACGGUCCUAAGGUAGCGAAAUUCCUUGUCGGGUAAGUUCCGACCUGCACGAAUGGCGUAAUGAUGGCCAGGCUGUCUCCACCCGAGACUCAGUGAAAUUGAACUCGCUGUGAAGAUGCAGUGUCCCCGCGGCAAGACGGAAAGACCCCGUGAACCUUUACUAUAGCUUGACACUGAACAUGGAGCCUUGAUGUGCAGGAUAGGUGGGAGGCUGAGAAGUGCGGACGCCAGUCUGCGUGGAGCCAUCCUUGAAAUACCACCCUUGAAUGUUCGAUGUUCUCACCUGGGCCCGUAAACCGGGCCGGGGACAGUGUCUGGCGGGUAGUUUGACUGGGGCGGUCUCCUCCCAAAGCGUAACGGAGGAGCACGAAGGUUGGCUAAUCACGGUCGGACAUCGUGAGGUUAGUGCAAAGGCAUAAGCCAGCUUAACUGCGAGAGUGACGGUUCGAGCAGGUACGAAAGUAGGUCUUAGUGAUCCGGUGGUUCUGAAUGGAAGGGCCAUCGCUCAACGGAUAAAAGGUACUCCGGGGAUAACAGGCUGAUACCGCCCAAGAGUUCAUAUCGACGGCGGUGUUUGGCACCUCGAUGUCGGCUCAUCACAUCCUGGGGCUGAAGUAGGUCCCAAGGGUAUGGCUGUUCGCCAUUUAAAGUGGUACGCGAGCUGGGUUUAGAACGUCGUGAGACAGUUCGGUCCCUAUCUGCCGUGGGCGCAGGAAGAUUGAAAGGGGCUGCUCCUAGUACGAGAGGACCGGAGUGGACGCACCGCUGGUGUACGGGUUGUCAUGCCAAUGGCAUAGCCCGGUAGCUAAGUGCGGGAGAGAUAACCGCUGAAAGCAUCUAAGCGGGAAACUUGCCUUGAGAUGAGUCUUCCCCUGACUUUAGUCACGGAAGGAACGUUUAAGACGAAGACGUGGAUAGGCUGGGUGUGUAAGUGCAGCGAUGCAUUGAGCUGACCAGUACUAAUGAACCGAGAGGCUUAACCUUACAACACCGAAGGUGUUU
rnacentral:rRNA from 1 species